GUCGGGAGUAGACGUUGCUUUAGGAGGUAAGGCUGAUUACCGGUUGCCGCCACCUUGAGACCGCGAGGGUAUGGCAUCAAAUAUGUACUAGCGCUCGCCGGGACAGAGAGGCCGCCCGGCGGUGGCUCCAGAAAACGCUCUUUUGUAAUUCAUCAUUCCGCAGUGGCCGACAACUUUGUGCAACUGUAAAAGAUCCGAGCCAAGCAAUUUUUAACCGUAAUCCGUUGCGAUAAAGUACGACGUCGUGAAACAUGUCGCUUGGAAAGUUUGAGCUGGCUCUCGGUUUCUGAAGGAAGCUUUGGCUUUCGGUAUGUUACAUCAAGGAUAUUUAAGGCAGUUAUUUCUAUCGCCAGGCGAAACUUAAUGAUGAAUAAGUAAAAUACUGAUUUACUUCGCUAUAUAUGCAUCACACGCCUACACAACCACAUGACUACUAUUAUCCCUAUAGUAAACAAAACUACAAUAUCAAAGAAUGGGCAAUAGUAAGUGAUCAUCAUUCAAAAUUAAAAUUUAUUUAUGUAACACAUACCUACGAACUGAAAUACCGUGGCCAUUCAAGAAAAGUAUUCGAAUACUGCAAGCGGCAAUGAUGAUUUUCAACUAAUAAAGAAUGAAGAUCGAAGAAGCCAGAAGAAUAAAGAGAAACUGUUUAUCUCCUUUACACUUGACAGA